rnacentral:tRNA from 1 species
GUUUCCGUCGUCUAGACGGCCAAGGACACCCGCCUCUCAAGUGGGUAACACGGGUUCGAAUCCCGUCGGAAACGCCA